GGUCAACCCGGGCCUGGAGCCAGGCUGGGUCUAAGUAAAAAACAGCCAGGGAUUUGACCUGGAAAAACCCGGUCUACUCUAUGGAUCGACCCGAGUUAAAAGGCCUCACACACACACACACACACACACGUGAAAUAACAUCGUUUUGGCCUUUUACGGCCAAAACAUGAAGAAUUGAAGACAGAACGAGCAAAACACCUAAUUAAAGAAAUCUCGAAAGCUCUUUCAAGGUACACUGUAAUGAAAGCUCUUUCAAGGUACACUGAAAUGGUCGAUGAUAUUAUCAGGACACAAGCCGAAAAAUUGCAACAAGGGAGUAAGCUAACUCAAGUGAAGCUCAAAGAAAUGGACCUGCCAGAUUCAAUUCUUUCUUUGGAAGAACUCUACACUUCCAACAGAUCUUAAAGAAGAUGUGGAAGCAGUGCAGAUUAGUGGGGGGCCAGCUGGCCUUGAAGCUGAGUUCCAGCAACUUAUGGAUUUGAGGAGGGUAAACCAAGAAUUGCUGGUUCAGACCGAGGAACUUUUGCAAAAGGAAGCAACGAAAGAUGCCCAAUUUAGAAGUCAAUUUGGGACACGGUGGACUAGGCCCCCAUCCAGCACUUUGACAAAGAACUUGCAGGAUAGAUUAAAUAGGCUUGCAGCCAACUUAAAGCAAGCUGCAGAGAGCGAUGCCAGAAUUGAGCGCUCAGUGAGGGAUCAUUCUGCACUCAUGUCAACUCUUGAUCGCCAACCAAUAGAAUCUGCACUUCCAACUUUAGCUAGGCCGAUAAUGUCUUUGGAUGCUAAUGAAGAUGCUAUAGUGGGGGUCUUGAAGCAGAGCUUGGUAUGUAUUUUUUUUUCUAAACUUUUUGUUUUUCAAAAUAAUUUGGUGUUGCAUUGUUGAGUUGACGUUUCCUUUUCCCUUAUGAACUCAGCCUUGCCUCUCUAACAAUGAAAAUAAGUAGAAAAAUGAACUGAAUGCUUUUCAGUUGCUGCAUCUUCUUUCUCUAGCUGUUUUCCUUUUUUACUCCUCAUCCAUAGCUUAUGUUAUGGUUGGUUUCCCCUGAGUCAACUCAUCGAACCUGUAACCUGAUCAUUAGACUGGGUCAACUACCGAGUCGGGUUUAAAAACUAUAAUUAUCAGAAAUUAACAUCUUUAUCAUCAAAAUUUCACAUCCACUCAAAACUACAAAAUGAGUUGGAAGAACUAAAAGUGAGUGGCAUAAGGCACUCAUGAAGAAUUGGAACACAUUAUUGAAACCAAGCAAAUCCAUUGCGGUUAAUAAAUAAAUACAAUCAUCAUGAUGGGGGUGUGUUUCUGAUCAGAGUCUCCUUCUCUCCUUCUUUGCCCCUCCUUCACUACCACCACCUGAUCAGCCUCCCCCACACCCCCACCCUUCCCUCACCAAUCAGCCUCCCCAACCCACAUCUAAUGCCACUCUGCUUCAUCGCUCCAGCCAACACAUUGUCCCACCAGCCAAGCUUCACGAUUACUUCUGCUCCAAUAUUUACUCCCACCAAUUGGCCUCCUUACUAUUAAGUCCGACUAAAGGUACACGUUAUCCACUAACUAAUUUUGUUUCUUAUCACCUCUAUACCUCUACAAAUCAAUCUUUUAUUGCUCAACUCCAUACUGUCACAAAACCCAGAUCCUAUUCCGAAGUUGUUGCUCACCCUGCAUGGCAAGAAGCUAUGCAUACUGCAUUGUAGGCUCUUCAGUAUAAUGGUACUUGGUCCCUCACACCACUCCCGGUGGAAAGACACUAAUUGGUUGAGAUGGAUGUAUAAAAUUAAACACCGUUCCAAUGGUUCUAUUGAGCGCUAAAAAGAAAGUCUGGUCGCUAAGGGGUUCACACAACUAGAAGGUGUGGACUUUCACGAUAUCUUCUCUCUCACAGCUAAAACCAUCCCUGUCCGCUGCUUACUUGCCUUGGCUGCAUCUUGUGGUUGGUCUCUCCACCAACUGGACAUCCACAAUGCUUUCCUCCACAGUGACUUAGCUGAAGAAAUAUACAUGUCACCACCAGCAGGGCUUCGGCAACAGGGAGAGAACCAUCUCGUUUGUCGCCUUCAUAAGUAAUUAUACGGGUUGAAAUAGGCAUCUCACCAAUGGUUUGCAAAGUAUUCAAAAGCAAUUUGCUCUGCUAGCUAUAUACAAUCUCAUGCUGAUUAUUCCUUGUUCACCAGCAAACAAGGUGAGUCCUUUACUGCUCUUUUGAUAUAUGCUGAUGAUAUUCUAAUUACUGGGAAUGAUCCGGUUAAAAUUGCUGCAACUAAAUAGUUUCUGCAUAACCAUUUUCAUCUCAAAGACUUUGGCAUUUUGAAAUAUUUUCUUAGAAUUGAGGUUUCGGCUUCCGAGAAAGGGAUUUUUAUUUCCCAGCAUAAGUAUGCAUUAGAAAUCAUUGCGGAUACAAGCUUGCUGGGUGCUGCCCCAACUAAUACUCCUAUAAAACGAGGGUUGAAAUUAUCAGACAAAGGCACCUUACUCAAAGAACCAAACCGGUACAGAAAACUGAUUGGCAAAUUAAUUUACUUAACUAUUUCAAGGCUAGACAUAACUUAUGCAGCACAUGUCCUGAGUAGAUUUAUGCAACAACCCCAGAAACUUCAUAUGCAGGCAACUUUUCGGGUUGUUUGUUAUCUAAAAAAGACACCCAACCAAGGAUUAUUCUUCUUUUCAAAUAGUGACUUCAGGUUGAGGGCUUAUUGUGACUCAAAUUGGGAUGCCCACUCAUUAGAAGAUCCACAACGGGUUAUUGUGUUUUUCUUGGAUCAUCAUUGAUAUCUUGGAAAUCAAAGAGAUAGAAAACUGUCUCUCUCCUCAGCUGAAGCAGAACACCGUGCAAUGACAGGAGCUUGUUGUGAAUUGACAUGGCUGCGCCAUCUAUUAAGGGAUUUGAGAAUUUCACACCAAGAAUCAGCUUGUUGUGAAUUGACAUGGAUUUUGCACAUCAGCUAGCAGACAUCUUGACCAAGCCCCUUGGAAAAGAAAUCUUUAUGCCUGUAUGGUUUGCAAGUUGGGAGUGCAGGAUAUUCACUCUCCAACUUAAGGGGGAGUGUUGAGAGAUCAGAAAUCAAAGUCUCCUACUUAGAAUAGGAGAUCUGCAGAGUUUUUCUUUCUUAUUGUAAAGCAAUCGCCUUGUAUAAGUAUGUGAUACAGUAUCAAUAAUAGAUCGCUGCAUAGAAUUC